GUGGGAUACCCAAGCGGCCAAAGGGAGCAGACUGUAAAUCUGCCGUCACAGACUUCGAAGGUUCGAAUCCUUCUCCCAC
rnacentral:tRNA from 1 species